CCUACGGGAUGCACCAGUGGGGAAUAUUGCACAAUGGGCGCAAGCCUGAUGCAGCCAUGCCGCGUGUAUGGAGAAGGCCUUCGGGUUGUAAAGUACUUUCAGCGGGGAGGAAGGUGUCGUGGUUAAUAACCGCAGCAAUUGACGUUACCCGCAGAAGAAGCACCGGCUAACUCCGUGCCAGCAGCCGCGGUAAUACGGAGGGUGCAAGCGUUAAUCGGAAUUACUGGGCGUAAAGCGCACGCAGGCGGUCCGUCAAGUCGGAUGUGAAAUCCCCGGGCUCAACCUGGGAACUGCAUUCGAAACUGGCAGGCUAGAGUCUUGUAGAGGGGGGUAGAAUUCCAGGUGUAGCGGUGAAAUGCGUAGAGAUCUGGAGGAAUACCGGUGGCGAAGGCGGCCCCCUGGACAAAGACUGACGCUCAGGUGCGAAAGCGUGGGGAGCAAACAGGAUUAGAUACCCUAGUAAUC
rnacentral:rRNA from 1 species